UUUUUUUUUCUUUUUAUCUGAAUUUACUUUUCCCAGAGCUGAAAGCCACAACAGUUAAAGAUGCUUCUUAAAUUGGAGAUUUUAAACUUUUCUGUUUAAAAACUUUAAAUAAGUUAAUAUAUUUUCUGUAUAAUAAUAUUAAAAUUAACUUUUCCGUUGGAAAUCUUUAUCUCUCCUCUUAUUUUUUUUAUUCCUAUUUACUCGUGAUUUCUGUACGUCGAACUAACUGCAAACAGUAAUUGAAAAUAAUGAUGUUAACGUUGCUUACGUUGUUGUAAUUUUUUUAUUUAGUUCUUACAAAAAAAUGACCGGAAAAUAACAACUCCCUAUUCUUCACUACGGCAAUUCCGCAAAGCAUUGUGGUUUUUCUAUAUUGUAGUAUUUAGCAAAUAAUAAAACUGUUCACAAAGAAAUCUUUUAUUGACAUUAAAAAAACUGUUGCUAUUAAAACAACUUUAAAAGUAUGAUAAUUCUUUGGAAGUAGCAUACGUCAUUUCUAAGAAAUAUUUUGAGAUAUUUUUUAUGUUAUCCCAAAAGACAAUAAAUUGAGGAAUAAUUGGCUCUCACUUAAUCAUUAAAAAAGAUUUUAAUUUAAUAAUUUCUUAUAGCGCAUGUUCAGCACAUUUCAGAGGAGCGCGUGUUGAGCACAUUUCAAAGGAGGUAAACAAAAUUCACAUGAAUAUUAUGUUCAACUAUAAAGCCUACUGUCUAAACCAAGAGCGAAAUAAAUAAAAUAUGGAUAAUUUCUUUAGUAAACUUUUUGCUACAGCUUACUUCAGAUAGAGAUGAAAAUUGAUUGUUUUCAAGUAUAAAAAAAUUUAGUGUAAAAUUGUAAUAGUGUAAAAAGUAAAACUGUAACAGUGUAAAAAGUGUAAAAUUGUAUUAAUAGCAGUAAACAUCCCGUGCUACAGGUUAUUUUUGUUAUAAAAAAGUGUCUUAAAGAUUAUGUUGGGUGUUUAUGUAGGGAGGUUAUUUAGGGAGAUUUCAUAUAAUAUGAGAGGGAGGUUAUGUCGGGAGAUUUCAUAGAAGAUGCGGUAAAAUGCAAUUGUAAUAAAAAAUAAAUUUUGAAUGUUUUUGUUGCUUUUACUUUAUAUUUUUUAUUGAUUUUAUUAAUAAUGAUACAUCAUUUUAAAAAGUU